AACGAACGCUGGCGGCAUGCCUAACACAUGCAAGUCGAACGAGACCUUCGGGUCUAGUGGCGCACGGGUGCGUAACGCGUGGGAACCUGCCCUUUGGUUCGGAAUAACUCCCCGACAGGGGUGCUAAUACCGGAUAAUGUUUUCGGACCAAAGAUUUAUCGCCUUUGGAUGGGCCCGCGUUGGAUUAGCUAGUUGGUAGGGUAAAAGCCUACCAAGGCGACGAUCCAUAGCUGGUCUGAGAGGAUGAUCAGCCACACUGGGACUGAGACACGGCCCAGACUCCUACGGGAGGCAGCAGUGGGGAAUAUUGGACAAUGGGCGAAAGCCUGAUCCAGCAAUGCCGCGUGAGUGAUGAAGGCCUUAGGGUUGUAAAGCUCUUUUACCCGGGACGAUAAUGACAGUACCGGGAGAAUAAGCUCCGGCUAACUCCGUG
rnacentral:rRNA from 1 species